rnacentral:rRNA from 1 species
GACGAACCGUACGAACGUUAUUCGGAAUCACUGGGCUUAAAGGGUGCGUAGGCUGCGCAGCAAGUUGGGUGUGAAAUCCCUCGGCUUAACCGAGGAACUGCGCCCAAAACUGCUGUGCUCGAGGGAGAUAGAGGUGAGCGGAACUUAGGGUGGAGCGGUGAAAUGCGUUGAUAUCCUAAGGAACACCGGUGGCGAAAGCGGCUCACUGGAUCUCUUCUGACGCUGAGGCACGAAAGCUAGGUAGCGAACGGG